AGGUGUAAGAUGACCAGGCGACACACUCUUUAAGAACAGUCCACACACACGCACACACUGAGUGUAAAAGGGAAAGCCCCUCUUCCCUCAGAGCAGUGUGUGUGUGACCGGGCGAGUGGGCUUGAGUUACUGCAGGAGAGAGAGAGCGAGUGAGCAGCUCCGACAGAUGGGACCCCUCCGCCUGAAGGUCUCAUGUAAGCGUUCCUGCAAGGCGCCAGGCUCCUGUCAAUCAUUAACACAUGCAGUCGUCCUGGGUAAACUUUGCUCCCAGCUACUGUAGCCAACAACAUGGCAGAUGGCAGACCUGCGGAGGCCGAGUCACUUUCACCGCUGUGUUGAACUAACGACGUGUCACAGCGUCUGAGACGGAGGGGGGUCGAUUGUGAGGCGUCGCAGCAGCUAACGUCAGACAGGAAUGAGAGGAGAGCACCUGCGGGAGGAAAACAUUCAAGUCACAGCAGCCGAAGGAACCUGAUUUUCACUCACAAAUCUUUCUCCUCUCCUCACACGGACGCUGGUGGACUACAAAUUUACCCUGGUUCUUUCAGUUUACCAGCCAGCCUUAAGUCUAACAAUUCUGUCUGGUGGUAAUCGGCCUUUUUUCCCUCUGUCAACAAAUGUUGGAUAACAGUUCUUAAAUCUUUUGUUUGGGAGACGGCAAAUAGGAGUUCAGAUAUGCUUCGACUGGAGUGGUUCUUUGUUUUAUGUAAGCUGAUAAAACCUUUAUUUUUUGCAUUGUGCAUUGAUGAAAGAGGUACAGCAAUAUGAUAUUUCAUUCUAUUAAGCCAUGGGACUGUCAAGAAACAGAUUUAGAAAGAUAAAUAAAUGAAAAUGGAGGUAAGAGAGGCUGGGAUGUGCUGACUGUUUGUAUUAAACUGAAGAAUAAAGAAAUGGACUGGUGACCUAAAGGCUGAUGAUGAGCUGCACUUUCC